GACGAACGCUGGCGGCGUGCUUAACACAUGCAAGUCGAACGGAAAGGCCCUGCUUUUGUGGGGUGCUCGAGUGGCGAACGGGUGAGUAACACGUGAGUAACCUUCCCUUUACUUUGGGAUAACUUCCGGAAACUUGGGCUAAUACCCGAUAGGAGCUCCUGCUGCAUGGUGGGGGUUGGAAAGUUUCGGCGGUUGGGGAUGGACUCGCGGCUUAUCAGCUUGUUGGUGGGGUAGUGGCUUACCAAGGCUUUGACGGGUAGCCGGCCUGAGAGGGUGACCGGCCACAUUGGGACUGAGAUACGGCCCAGACUCCUACGGGAGGCAGCAGUGGGGAAUAUUGCACAAUGGGCGGAAGCCUGAUGCAGCAACGCCGCGUGCGGGAUGACGGCCUUCGGGUUGUAAACCGCUUUCGCCUGUGACGAAGCGUGAGUGACGGUAAUGGGUAAAGAAGCACCGGCUAACUACGUG
rnacentral:rRNA from 1 species